AUCGCUUCUCGGCCUUUUGGCUGUGAUCAAGUGUACUGUCCUUAUCAGUUUAAUAAAUGCAUUGACAAUGCUCAUAGAUGAUUAAGUGAUUGGUCUAAGCAUCCAAUCAGUGGCACUACCAUCUUAGAUGAAGACUGACUGAUACCUCACUGAUGAAGGCAGAAACCCAUUUUAACUUAAAGUCUGGGUCGUUCGUGUU
rnacentral:snRNA from 1 species